AGCUUUGCACAUUGGCAGUAUCAUAACCAAUGAAGUUAAUCUGAGGUGUGAUUAUUGCUAGUUGAAAACUUUCCCUUACUGCUAAAUGAUGAACUAGCAGUUGGCUGAGCCCUCAAGGGU
rnacentral:snRNA from 1 species